GUAAAAAAGAUACUUUUGGCAACACUGCUGUCAAAGUGACAGCUGUCAAAA
rnacentral:lncRNA from 1 species